CAUCGCCUCUUGCCCCCAAAUAUAAGAGGUCCAGCCUGCCCAGUGACAUAGUUUAACGGCCGCGGUACCCUAACCGUGCGAAGGUAGCAUAAUCACUUGUUCUUUAAAUAAGGACUCGUAUCAACGGCAUCACGAGGGCUGUACUGUCUCCUUUCUCCAAUCAGUGAAACUGAUCUCCCCGUGAAGAAGCGGGGAUUGACCUAUAAGACGAGAAGACCCCAUGGAGCUUUAAACCCAACACACACCUCUACUCACUCAAAUCAACAUAACCCAAGAGACUUGUGUGUUGGUUUUAGGUUGGGGGGACCGCGGAGUAAAAUCAAACCUCCAUGACAGACGGACUAACACCCUUAUCCAUGAACCACAAUUCUAAGAGCCAAUAAAUUGUUGUCUAAUGACCCAAUUACUUGAUCAACGAACCAAGUUACCCUGGGGAUAACAGCGCAAUCUACUUCAAGAGCCCCUAUCGACAAGUAGGUUUACGACCUCGAUGUUGGAUCAGGGUAUCCUAGUGGUGCAGCCGCUACUAAAGG
rnacentral:rRNA from 1 species